UACGUAGGGCGCGAGCGUUAUCCGGAAUUAUUGGGCGUAAAGAGCUCGUAGGCGGUUUGUCACGUCUGCUGUGAAAACUGGAGGCUCAACCUCCAGCCUGCAGUGGGUACGGGCAGACUAGAGUGCGGUAGGGGAGAUUGGAAUUCCUGGUGUAGCGGUGGAAUGCGCAGAUAUCAGGAAGAACACCCGUGGCGAAGGCGGCUCUCUGGGACGGUACUGACGCUGAGACGCGAAAGCGUGGGGAGCGAACAGG
rnacentral:rRNA from 1 species